rnacentral:rRNA from 1 species
GCCCAGACUCCUACGGGAGGCAGCAGUGGGGAAUAUUGCACAAUGGGGGAAACCCUGAUGCAGCGACGCCGCGUGAGCGAUGAAGUAUUUCGGUAUGUAAAGAUCUAUCAGCAGGGAAGAAAAUGACGGUACCUGACUAAGAAGCCCCGGCUAACUACGUGCCAGCAGCCGCGGUAAUACGUAGGGGGCAAGCGUUAUCCGGAUUUACUGGGUGUAAAGGGAGCGUAGACGGCGAUGCAAGCCAGAUGUGAAGGCCCGGGUCUCGACCCCGGGACUGCAUUUGGAACUGUAUAGCUAGAGUGUCGGAGAGACAGGCGGAAGUCCUAGUGUAGCGGUGAAAUGGGUAGAUAUUAGGAGGCACGCCAGUGGCGAAGGCGGCCUGCUGGACGAUGACUGACGAUGAGGCUCGAAAGCGUGGGGAA